UCACUGUGGGUUCUGGGUUGGGUGAUGUGCAAGCCUGACCCUCCCCAACCCCUGCCCACAG
rnacentral:miRNA from 1 species